rnacentral:lncRNA from 1 species
UGUGGAAGCAAUUCCAUUCCCACAUAUUUAUCCAAGGAUAAAGGAAACAUGUGAACAUAAGAAGACCUCUAUGUGAAUGUGAUAUGAGAGGGGGGCAGGAAAGUGCCGGUUAGAGAAGGACAGGGUCCCAGGCCAGGGCUCCACCCUAGGGGUAGUGUCCACGGACUUAAGUGAAACCAGGCGCUCCUGUUUUCAUGCCCACAUGCUUCAUUUUGCACCUGGCCCGCCUGUGUGAUCCUGUGCCCAUUUAAACCCAUGUGAUGAUCCACUCACAUGGCAGGUCUUUUCAAAGAGGGACAACCACUCUAUAGGGUAGCAAGAUCAGUCACACCAUUCAUUAAAGAAGACUUUCCUCCCAGGGCUCAAGAAGCGUGUAAACUCUACCAAAAGACGCAUCAUUUACCUUGAUAGGACUAUAAUUGUAACUCAUUGAUUCCACAAAGAGCUACUGAGCACUUUCAAAGUGCCAGCCACUGUUUCAUGCACUGGCAUUCCAGUGGUAAACAAGAAAAAAAGAUAGGGAAGGACAUUUAUCCUCAAGAAGCAAAAAUGCUGGUCUGGCUCAGUUUAUGCAAGUGCUGCCAAGAGUGAGCCGGUGCUUUUCUAGCAUCAUCUCUCCUUCUUAUAUGUUUUUUGUCUAUAAUAAAAAUAACCUUAAUAUUUUAUAAUAAUGGGAACAAAGUUUUUUAAAAGAAAAAUAGGAUUUCAAAGAAUCAAAAGGAAGAUGUUAGAAUCACCUGUAUUCCCACUUCUCCGAGGUAAUUGCUGUUAGUAUUCUGGGCAAGAUCUUGCUAUGUUUCCCAGGCUGGACUUCAACUCCUGGGCUCAAGUGAUCCUCCUGUCUCGGCCUCCCAAGUACCUGGGACUACAGAUGUGCACCGCUUAGUCAAUUUUUCUUUAUUUUUAUUAAAGUAUAAUUGGCUUAUAUUAAAUUGCAUAUAUUAACAUGUAAUAUUUAAUAAAUCUUGAUAUUUAUGCACCCAUUAAUCUAUCACACUAUUAAAUAUAUGUGCAAUGUAUUUUUCUCUCCUCAAAUUUUUCUUGUGUUUUUUUUUAAUUCUUUCCUUCUUCCCCUCCCUGUCCAACACUCCUUCUGCCUCCAGUUCUCUAGUAACUAUUAAUCUGAUUUCUGUCAUUACAUAUCAGUUGUACUAUUUAGAAUUUUAUAUAACUGGAAUUGUCAACUAUGUACUCUUAUUUUUGCCUGGUUUCUUUCCCAAGAAUAAUGAAGAUUCAUCUAUGCUGUUACACAUAUCAACAGUUCUCUUAUCAUUGCAGUGUAGUAUUUCAGUAUAUAGAUUACUAUUCAUAUGCUGAUGGUAUUUUAGUGGUUUGGAGGUGUUUUAUAUAAAGCUUCCAUAAAUAUUUGUGUACAAUUUUUUUGUGUGGACACAUGCUUUCAUUUCUCUUAGCAGUAACAAGGUUAGAAUAUAUGGCAGGUAUAUGUUUAACUUUUAAAUAAACUAACAAAGUGUUUUAUUGGGGAACCUGCCCCGAUAGCUACAUAGGUUCUUUUCUAUUUUCCCUAAGCAUCGGCCAGUUUGAGAAAUAAGGGGACAGAGUACAAAAGAGAGAAAUUUUAAAGCUGGGCUUCUGGGGGAGACAUCACAUGUCGGUAGGUUCUGUGAUGCCCCACAAGCCGCAAAACCAGCAAGUUUUUAUUAGGGACUUUCAAAAGGGGAGGGAGUGUACGAAUAGGGUGUGGGUCACAAAGAUCACGUACUUCACAAGGUAAUAGAAUAUCACAAGGCAAAUUGAGGCAGGGUGAGAUCACAGGACCACAGGACCAGGGCAAAAUUAAAAUUGCUAAUGAAUUUUCGGGCACCAUUGUCAUUGAUAACAUCUUAUCAGGAGACAGGGUUUUGAGAGCAACCCGUCUGACCAAAAUUUUUUAGGCGGGAAUUUCCUCUUCCUAAUAAGCCUGGAAGGACUAUGGGAGACUGGGGUUUAUUUCAUCCCUACUGUCUUGACCAUAGAAGAUGGCCACACCCAAGGGGGCCAUUUAUAGACCCACCCUCAGGGGCGUAUUCUCUUUCUCAGGGAUGUUCCUUGCUGAGAAAAAUAAUUCAGCAAUAUUUCUCCCAUUUGCUUUUGAAAGAAGAGAAAUAUGGCUCUGUUCCACCUGGCUCACAGAUGGUCAGAGUUUAAGGUUAUCUCUCUUAUUCUCUGAACAAUUGCCGUUAUCCUGUUCUUUUUUCAAGGUGCCCAGAUUUCAUAUUGUUCAAACACACAUGCUUUACAAUUUGGGCAGUUAACACAAUUAUCACAGGGUCCUGAGGUGACAUACUUCCUCCUCAGCUGGCAGGAUUAAGAGAUUAAAGUAAAGACAGGUCUAGGAAAUCACAAGGGUAUUGACUGGGGAAGUGAUAAGUGUCCAUGAAAUCUUCACAAUUUAUGUUUAGAGAUUAUGGCAAAGACAGGCAUAAGAAAUUAUAAAAGUAUUAAUUUGGGGAUCUAACAAAUGUCCAUGAAAUCUUCACAAUCCACGUUCUUCUGCCAUGGCUUUAGCCAGUCCCUCUGUUUGGGGUCCCUGACUUCCCGCAACAGAGUUUUCCAAAAUACUGGUAUCAUUUUAUAUUCCCGUCAUCAGUAUUUAACAGUUACAGGUCAAAUCCUGGCCAACACUUGGUAUUGUCAGGCUUCUUAGCUUUUUAAAAUGUAUUAAGUAUGUAGUCACUUAAUUGCAAAAGACCAUUUUGCUUUUAAUUUUUUCCCUAAUAAAUUAUAAUGUUGAUUAUCCUUUCAUGGUCUUAUUUGCCAUCCAUAUGUCUUAUUGAUAAAAUGUCUGCUUACAUUCAUUACAAAUUUAUACUAGGAUUUCAACAUUUUUAAAUCGUGGUAAAAUACACAUAAAUAAUAUAUCACUUUAACUAUUUUUAAGUGUACAGUAUACAGUGUUAAGUAUAGCCACAUGGUUGGGUAAUCUUUAUAACUUUUUCUUUUUGCAAAACUGAAACUCUAUACCCAUUAAAUAAACCUUAUUUUUUCCUCUCGUCAGCCCUCACAAUCACCAUGCUACUUUCUGUCUCUUUGAAUGUUACUACUCUGGAUACUUCAUAUAAGGGAAUCAUGUUGUAUUUGUCUUUCUGUUAUUGGCUUAUUUCACUUAGUAUAAUGUCCUCAAGGUUCAUCCAUAUUGUAAUACAUGUCAAAAUUUCCUUUAUUUUUAAGGCUGAAUAAUAUUUUGCACACACACACAUGCACGCACACACUGUUUUGUUCAUACAUUCAACCAUUGAUGGAUAUUUGGGUUUUUUCAACCUUUUGGAUACUGUGAAUAAUCCUGUUAUGAACAAAGGAGUACUAUUAAUAUAUUUUAAGUUCUUUUGGAAAUAUAUCUAGGAGUGAAAUUGCUGGAUUA